ACUGGAUUGGUUGCUACAGAACAGGAGGUGUAAAAGAAAAUAAAUAAAAGCCCACAGUUUCUCAUAAUUAUCACAUUUGCCUGCCAACACACGGGUCUGAACACUCAGCAAUCAUUUAAAUGAUACUAUCAGGGGACAGUGAAGGAGAGGAUGACGACGACGACGAUGAUGAUGAUGACAGUAGGGGUGCUGGAAUAAGCAUCUGUUGCCAAGGAUAGAUGCCACACCCUGCACUGCUGAGAAAGUCCAAUAGAGACACUGGACCAACGGACUGUGUGGAUCGACGGUCGUCACAUGACCAGCGCACCUCACAUCCUUUGUGCUGUCUCAACCCAAAGACGCUUGAAAAUGUUGCAUUGUAAUGCAUUUAUUUGUCUUGUACUGUUUUUACAGGGGGCAGUCGGCACCUUUUUAUUUAUCCUUGGCUCCUACAGCCCCAAUCAGUCGGUUGAAGCUCCUUGGGUCAGGAAAAAAUGAGUAACACUGUUUCAUUAUCAGUGUUAUGCAGUUUUGUGGGUCAUUUCUACAUUAUACAUAAUAAGACAUUACUGUACUCACGGCUGCACAACUUUUCAAUCUCAUUGGUUGUUGCGUUUCAGCGAUCUUGAGAACUUUCUAAAGCUAAGAUUUGUGGAACCUGUGCGCCACCAUCUUGUGUGAGUAAAGUGAUCUGAAACAUAGCCCACACAGGCUCCACGAAUCUCAACCUUUGAGUCUUAUUGAUUGUUGUGUGUCUUCGACCACAAGAACCCAUGAGAUUCCAAAAUUGAGAUUCGUGGAACCUGUGCACCACCAUUUUGUGUGAGUAAAGUGAUCUUAAACAUAGCUCACACAGGCUCCACGAAUCUCAACUUUGGAGUCUUAUUGAUUGUUGUGUGUCUUCGACCACAAGAACCCAUGAGAUUCCAAAAUUGAGAUUCGUGCAGCCAUUUUGUGAGUACAGUGAUGCAUUAAACACAAUGCAUCACUGUACUCAUCUAAACCAUAAUCUAAAGAUUGUGAAUGUAAAAAGGAAUGUAGAAUGUAGGAAUGACUCUGCGGUUCUUUAUGAAUCAUGUAUGGUAUAAUUCCAUUGUGGAUGUUUAGCUAUUCAUGUUAAGCUUAUCAUCUAUUUCUCAUGUGCUACACACAACUUUCAGUAGUGAUGUUAAACAUGCUAAUGACAUGUAUUGAGUUUACUAACCUACUGUAGAUCAAUCUACAUUUGGUGGUAAUUUCUCUCAUGAUUAUAAUGAGUAUUUACUCAUAAUCGCUUUGAUUUUUAUCACUCCGAUUUAAGAGUAACUUGUGUAGUGUCCAGUUUAUUUACUAUUGAUAUCUCAAAAUUGUACUUGGUUAUGUAGGGGGACUAUUAGCAAGACGUGAUCUGUUACAGAAAAUUAUUAUGUCUGCCUGUGCUCCAGUCAUAUUACAGUCAUUCUGUGACUGUAUCACUAAUGCUAAUAAGCUACAUGGAAACUCCCGCUUAAUAAAGUUGUGUAAAAAAGAAA